UGAGAAGAUAAAGUAGAUUGGGGAAGAGAACAUAUUUGGAGAAUUGAAUAUUUAGGCGGGGAGAGCCUCUUCAGAGAUAAUCGGAUUAAAGAAUAAAUUCACAGGGAAGUGUUUAAGAAGGAACUGCAGAUGCUGGAAAAUCAAAGGUAGACAAAAGUGCUGGAGAAACUCAGCGGAGAAACAGGAUUUACAACUUUUUUAAUUGAUACAGGAAAGGCUGCUGUGCCCACCCCCUGGAGAGUGGGGGGAAGCCACCUACAGGCCCAUGGCAAUUAACUAAUUAUGUAUGGACAGCAAUUAACCCAUGUCUUGCCAUAUCUGCAUUCCCAGGUUAGAGGAUCUGUGCUAA